UACAGAGGGUGCAAGCGUUAAUCGGAAUUACUGGGCGUAAAGCGUGCGUAGACGGUUAUGUAAGUCAGAUGUGAAAGCCCCGGGCUCAACCUGGGAAUUGCAUUUGAGACUGUGUAGCUAGGGUGCGGAAGAGGGAAGCGGAAUUUCCGGUGUAGCGGUGAAAUGCGCAGAUAUCGGGAAGAACACCCGUGGCGAAGGCGGUUCUCUGGGACGGUACUGACGCUGAGACGCGAAAGCGUGGGGAGCAAACAGG
rnacentral:rRNA from 1 species